rnacentral:rRNA from 1 species
UACAGAGGGGGCAAGCGUUGUUCGGAAUUACUGGGCGUAAAGGGCGCGUAGGCGCCUGCUAAGUCGAACGUGAAAUCCCCGGGCUCAACCCGGGAACUGCGUCCGAUACUGGCAGGCUUGAAUCCGGGAGAGGGAUGUGGAAUUCCAGGUGUAGCGGUGAAAUGCGUAGAUAUCUGGAGGAACACCGGUGGCGAAGGCGGAUCUCGUGGCCGUACUGAC